UACGGGGGGGGCAAGCGUUGUUCGGAAUUACUGGGCGUAAAGGGCUCGUAGGCGGCCAACUAAGUCAGACGUGAAAUCCCUCGGCUUAACCGGGGAACUGCGUCUGAUACUGGAUGGCUUGAGGUUGGGAGAGGGAUGCGGAAUUCACGGUGGUAGCGGUGAAAUGCGUAGAUAUCUGGAGGAACACCGGUGGCGAAGGCGGCAUCCUGGACCAAUUCUGACGCUGAGGAGCGAAAGCCAGGGGAGCAAAGCGGG
rnacentral:rRNA from 1 species